rnacentral:rRNA from 1 species
UACGAAGGGAGCUAGCGUUACUCGGAAUCAUUGGGCGUAAAGCGUGCGAAGGCUGUUUUUCAAGUCAGAAGUGAAAUCCUGAGGCUCAACCUCAGAAUUGCUUUUGAAACUGUUAAACUAGAGUAUCAGAGGGGAUAGCGGAAUUCCUAGUGUAGAAGUGAAAUUCGUAGAUAUUAGGAGGAACACCGGUGGCGAAGGCGGCUAUCUGGCUGAAUACUGACGCUGUUGCACGAAAGCGUGGGGAGCAAAC